GACGUAGGAGGCGAGCGUUAUCCGGAUUCACUGGGCGUAAAGCGCAUGUAGGCGGCUGGGAAAGUCAGUUGUUAAAGCCCCUGGCUCAACUGGGGGAGGUCAACUGAGACUAAUCGGCUUGAGGGCAGCAGAGGCGCGUGGAACUCCCGGUGUAGCGGUGGAAUGCGUAGAGAUCGGGAAGAACACCAGUGGCGAAGGCGGCGCGCUGGGCUGCAACUGACGCUGAGAUGCGAAAGUGUGGGGAGCAAACGGG
rnacentral:rRNA from 1 species